GCUAGCUGUUCAAAUUUCAAAUGUCUCAGUAAAAUAUCCACAAUUAAAAUAAGCUGCUGUCAGUGCAUCUCUGCCAUAGUUAGUGAAUGCAUUAGAGCCGCUACAGCCUGCACAAAGCCCACAUCGUAUCAUUGUAGAAAUGAAAACAUGAUAGGAGCAGACAGACUGACAGAAACCCCUAGAAGCUAAAAUCAGCCUCCAUCGACCUUCAAGCAGGAGGAGCACCAAACUCCCGUGAAUUAUAGGAUACUGGACGUGACCAUAUUUGGACUAAAGGACAGAACUGAGGAAUUUUUAGCUAGCACUAGCUAGCUAACUAGCUUAUCAACUCCAUCUGUAAUUCACUUUAAUAUUAAAUGGGAAGCUAAAAACAAACAGUAAACCAGAACUUACUGAGAGCCACAUGAGGACUACGACACAGUUAUUAUUGUGUGUGUGGAGGAGUGGUGAUGAGAACUCUGUGAUGAGAAGCCAGUUGGCCGCAACCUCCUCUUCCUCCCACCCUUUGACAUGAGGCACAUGAGUCUGGAGAUGGAUUUAGGCACAUGAAACUGGAGCAGGUCGUGGGCUCAAGCAGCACCCUUCGGGGCUGAAAACUGAAGCCAGUGCAGAAGUGCAAAAACAGUUCUUGGAGUGGCUACUUGAAGUUGGC